UACGUAGGGUGCAAGCGUUGUCCGGAAUUAUUGGGCGUAAAGAGCUCGUAGGCGGCUUGUCGCGUCGGUUGUGAAAGCCCGGGGCUUAACUCCGGGUCUGCAGUCGAUACGGGCAGGCUAGAGUUCGGUAGGGGAGAUCGGAAUUCCUGGUGUAGCGGUGAAAUGCGCAGAUAUCAGGAGGAACACCGGUGGCGAAGGCGGUUCUCUGGGCCUUACCUGACGCUGAGGAGCGAAAGCAUGGGGAGCGAACAGG
rnacentral:rRNA from 1 species